UCUGUCAUGAGUUACUGUAAUGGCCUGAGGUGUUUGGCCUCUAGCCAGGAGGUGGCACUUGCAAGAGAGCACCAACUGCAGUAAUAGAAGGGGGAUAUAAGCUUGUGCUAAGUUGGCCAGGAUAUAGAAAUAGGACAGACAAACAGAGUGGGACGAGAAAAUUCCUUCAAGAAUCACAGUUGUUGUGGAUCUCAAGGUGAUGCAGAUUCUGGCACAGAAAGGGAAGCACCAGCCCUGUUCUCUCCAUUCCACAUGGCAGUUCCUUCCUCUCUCAGGGAUGACUGCAGUCUUCUGCCAGGCCUGGGGUUUUCUACUUCUAGCCUGGGAACUAGGAGUAAUAAGCACGACAGAGCGAUCUGCACUUGCGUCGAAGAGCUGCAUUCCGUUCCAGUGGCUUUGGACUAGAAAAUCUCCUUCCCUGUUCAUUCAGCAAGAUGAGGCAAGAGUUGUCCUGGUCAUCCAACAACAUAGGGCAUAAAGGGUCUUCCCAUGUCAUCAUCUGCUGUUAUCUGGUACACUUUCCUCUCAACCUCCGUUCCUGUAGGUACACAUGCAUGACUGGACCUCAUCCCUUCUACCCACAGAACUCAACAGUCGUCUAUUUGAGAACCAGCAGGAGGUCAUAUUCUAUAUGUCCACAUAUGUAUCUGGGGAGACUGGCUGGCUGCAAGGCUUUGUAACCACCUUCCAGGCAGAUGACAAGAUGGAACCUUCUCAACAUACACCUCAGUUAAAAGUCAAGUCAAUAAAAGCCUGGCUGCAUGAAAGAGGAUGAUACAUAAAGACUGGCUGUAUACCUUUGUUUGAUCUGAGUAAGAAAUGCGUGCAUUCAAUGAGGCCACUGAGUUUAUGAUCAAACCUCCUCGUAAAGAAUAGAGCACAGAGAAACCCAUAUUCUUACCGUGUGACAAAUGAGACUGCGAACGUGGACCCUUCUUUAAAACUCCAGCUAAUUCAGGUUGCAGAAUGAAGUGUGCCAUGUCAUAAUUAAUCCCUCAUGUAUUGCAAGCAAUUUAAUGUCAAAAUAAUCAACAGGAGCGUUUUUUACCCUUUUGUGAGUACAUAAUAAAUACUGUCAUUUAGCUGCAGCAAA